GAGUAAUGUAUGGGGAUCUGCCCGAUAGAGGGGGAUAACUACUGGAAACGGUGGCUAAUACCGCAUGACGUCUACGGACCAAAGCAGGGGCUCUUCGGACCUUGCGCUAUCGGAUGAACCCAUAUGGGAUUAGCUAGUAGGUGAGGUAAUGGCUCACCUAGGCGACGAUCUCUAGCUGGUCUGAGAGGAUGAUCAGCCACACUGGGACUGAGACACGGUCCAGACUCCUACGGGAGGCAGCAGUGGGGAAUAUUGCACAAUGGGCGCAAGCCUGAUGCAGCCAUGCCGCGUGUAUGAAGAAGGCCCUAGGGUUGUAAAGUACUUUCAGUCGGGAGGAAGGCGUUGAUGUUAAUACCAUCAACGAUUGACGUUACCGACAGAAGAAGCACCGGCUAACUCCGUGCCAGCAGCCGCGGUAAUACGGAGGGUGCAAGCGUUAAUCGGAAUUACUGGGCGUAAAGCGCACGCAGGCGGUUAAUUAAGUUAGAUGUGAAAUCCCCGGGCUUAACCUGGGAAUGGCAUCUAAGACUGGUUAGCUAGAGUCUUGUAGAGGGGGGUAGAAUUCCACGUGUAGCGGUGAAAUGCGUAGAGAUGUGGAGGAAUACCAGUGGCGAA
rnacentral:rRNA from 1 species